rnacentral:rRNA from 1 species
ACGUAGGACGCAAACGUUAUCCGGAAUUACUGGGCGUAAAGGGCGCGCAGGCGGUUGGGUAAGUGAGGCAUGAAAGCUCCCGGCUUAACCGGGAGAGGAUGUCUGAGACUGCCCGACUAGAGUGAGGUAGAGGGGUGUAGAAUUCCGCGUGUAGUGGUGAAAUGCGUAGAGAUGCGGAGGAAUACCAGUGGCGAAGGCGGCACCCUGGACCUUAACUGACGCUGAGGCGCGAAAGCAUGGGUAGCGAACGGGA